GCGGCGGUGGGGUUGUCCCUCGGGGGGAUACCGGGAGAAAGAGGUUUUUCCUCGUCAAACCGUAAGCAGUCAGCCAGCGAGGUAUUCCAAGCUGUGAGCAGCUGUGUAAGGCUUGGAGUUACAAAGGCCCAAAGAGUUGGAAGAAACUUCAAGGUCUUUCUGAUUCAGCGCUGCUCUAUGGAGUAAUCUGUGUACCCAGAACUUUGGCCCCUGAGCUGGCACAGUGGCAUGGCACCUGGGCUGGCUCCAUGCCGAGGCUGCAUCAGGUGCUGAGGGAAGGGGCUGUUGUCUGUAGGUAUGGCUGGUGAGACUUGGGUUGGUUAAUUGCUAUGAAUUGGUGGAACUGUUGAAGAGCCACUGACAUUUUCUUCACGUGAACUCACGGAUCUGCCUUCCUG
rnacentral:lncRNA from 1 species